GAUGAACGCUGGCGGCGUGCCUAAUACAUGCAAGUCGAGCGAACAGACGAGGAGCUUGCUCCUCUGACGUUAGCGGCGGACGGGGGAGUAACACGUGGAUAACCUACCUAUAAGACUGGGAUAACUUCGGGAAACCGGAGCUAAUACCGGAUAAUAUAUUGAACCGCAUGGUUCAAUAGUGAAAGACGGUUUUGUUGUCACUUAUAGAUGGAUCCGCGCCGCAUUAGCUAGUUGGUAAGGUAACGGCUUACCAAGGCAACGAUGCGUAGCCGACCUGAGAGGGUGAUCGGCCACACUGGAACUGAGACACGGUCCAGACUCCUACGGGAGGCAGCAGUAGGGAAUCUUCCGCAAUGGGCGAAAGCUUGACGGGGCAACGCCGCGUGAGUGAUGAAGGUCUUCGGAUCGUAAAACUCUGUUAUUAGGGAAGAACAAAUGUGUAAGUAACUAUGCACGUCUUGACGGUACCUAAUCAGAAAGCCACGGCUAACUACGUG
rnacentral:rRNA from 1 species